GGGGUCAUAGUUCAAUGGCAGAAUAAAGGUCUCCAAAACCUUUGAUCAAGGUUCGAAUCCUUGUGACCCCG
rnacentral:tRNA from 1 species